rnacentral:rRNA from 1 species
ACGAACGCUGGCGGCGUGCCUAAUACAUGCAAGUUGAGCGCUGAAGGUUGGUACUUGUACCAACUGGAUGAGCAGCGAACGGGUGAGUAACGCGUGGGGAAUCUGCCUUUGAGCGGGGGACAACAUUUGGAAACGAAUGCUAAUACCGCAUAAAAACUUUAAACACAAGUUUUAAGUUUGAAAGAUGCAAUUGCAUCACUCAAAGAUGAUCCCGCGUUGUAUUAGCUAGUUGGUGAGGUAAAGGCUCACCAAGGCGAUGAUACAUAGCCGACCUGAGAGGGUGAUCGGCCACAUUGGGACUGAGACACGGCCCAAACUCCUACGGGAGGCAGCAGUAGUGAAUCUUCGGCAAUGGACGAAAGUCUGACCGAGCAACGCCGCGUGAGUGAAGAAGGUUUUCGGAUCGUAAAACUCUGUUGGUAGAGAAGAACGUUGGUGAGAGUGGAAAGCUCAUCAAGUGACGGUAACUACCCAGAAAGGGACGGCUAACUACGUG